rnacentral:tRNA from 1 species
GGGGCGGUGGCGAAACGGCAUACGCAGUGGACUUAAAAUCCACCCCUCGGGAGAGGUUGUGGGUUCGACUCCCACCCGCCCUA